rnacentral:rRNA from 1 species
GUCCACGCCGUAAACGAUGAACACUAGGUGGUGCGGGUAUUGACCCCUGCAGUGCCGACGCUAACGCAUUAAGUGUUCCGCCUGGGGAGUACGGCCGCAAGGCUAAAACUCAAAGGAAUUGACGGGGCCCGCACAAGCGGUGGAGUAUGUGGUUUAAUUCGACGCAACGCGAAGAACCUUACCCGGAUUUGACAUCGAUGGAAUGCACUGGAAACAGAGCAGUACUCCGCAAGGAGACCUGAAGACAGGUGCUGCAUGGCUGUCGU